CCCCGGUAAACGGCGGCCGUAACUAUAACGGUCCUAAGGUAGCGAAAUUCCUUGUCGGGUAAGUUCCGACCUGCACGAAUGGCGUAAUGAUGGCCAGGCUGUCUCCACCCGAGACUCAGUGAAAUUGAACUCGCUGUGAAGAUGCAGUGUACCCGCGGCAAGACGGAAAGACCCCGUGAACCUUUACUAUAGCUUGACACUGAACAUUGAGCCUUGAUGUGUAGGAUAGGUGGGAGGCUUUGAAGUGUGGACGCCAGUCUGCAUGGAGCCGACCUUGAAAUACCACCCUUUAAUGUUUGAUGUUCUAACGUGGACCCGUAAUCCGGGUUGCGGACAGUGUCUGGUGGGUAGUUUGACUGGGGCGGUCUCCUCCUAAAGAGUAACGGAGGAGCACGAAGGUUGGCUAAUCCUGGUCGGACAUCAGGAGGUUAGUGCAAUGGCAUAAGCCAGCUUGACUGCGAGCGUGACGGCGCGAGCAGGUGCGAAAGCAGGUCAUAGUGAUCCGGUGGUUCUGAAUGGAAGGGCCAUCGCUCAACGGAUAAAAGGUACUCCGGGGAUAACAGGCUGAUACCGCCCAAGAGUUCAUAUCGACGGCGGUGUUUGGCACCUCGAUGUCGGCUCAUCACAUCCUGGGGCUGAAGUAGGUCCCAAGGGUAUGGCUGUUCGCCAUUUAAAGUGGUACGCGAGCUGGGUUUAGAACGUCGUGAGACAGUUCGGUCCCUAUCUGCCGUGGGCGCUGGAGAACUGAGGGGGGCUGCUCCUAGUACGAGAGGACCGGAGUGGACGCAUCACUGGUGUUCGGGUUGUCAUGCCAAUGGCACUGCCCGGUAGCUAAAUGCGGAAGAGAUAAGUGCUGAAAGCAUCUAAGCACGAAACUUGCCCCGAGAUGAGUUCUCCCUGAGACUUAGAGUCUCCUGAAGGAACGUUGA
rnacentral:rRNA from 4 species